rnacentral:rRNA from 1 species
GAUGAACGCUGGCGGCGUGCCUAAUACAUGCAAGUCGAGCGAAUGGAUUAAGAGCUUGCUCUUAUGAAGUUAGCGGCGGACGGGUGAGUAACACGUGGGUAACCUACCCAUAAGACUGGGAUAACUCCGGGAAACCGGGGCUAAUACCGGAUAACAUUUUGAACCGCAUGGUUCGAAAUUGAAAGGCGGCUUCGGCUGUCACUUAUGGAUGGACCCGCGUCGCACUAGCUAGUUGGUGAGGUAACGGCUCACCAAGGCAACGAUGCGUAGCCGACCUGAGAGGGUGAGCGGCCGCACUGGGACUGAGACACGGCCCAGACUCCUACGGGAGGCAGCAGUAGGGAAUCUUCCGCAAUGGACGAAAGUCUGACGGAGCAACGCCGCGUGAGUGAUGAAGGCUUUCGGGUCGUAAAACUCUGUUGUUAGGGAAGAACAAGUGCUAGUUGAAUAAGCUGGCACCUUGACGGUACCUAACCAGAAAGCCACGGCUAACUACGUGCCAGCCGCCGCCGUAA